rnacentral:rRNA from 1 species
CCUACGGGAGGCAGCAGUGGGGAAUAUUGCACAAUGGGGGAAACCCUGAUGCAGCGACGCCGCGUGAGCGAUGAAGUAUUUCGGUAUGUAAAGCUCUAUCAGCAGGGAAGAAAGUGACGGUACCUGACUAAGAAAGCCCGGCUAACUACGUGCCAGCCACCGCGGGAAUACGUAGGGGGCAAGCGUUAGCCGGAUUUACUGGGUGUAAAGGGAGCGUAGACGGCGGUGCAAGUCAGAUGUGAAAGCCUGGGGCUCAACCCCGGGACUGCAUUUGGAACUGUGCUGCUAGAGUGUCGGAGAGGCAGGCGGAAGUCCUGGUGUAGCGGUGAAAUGCGUAGAUAUUAGGAGGAACACCAGUGGCGAAGGCGGCCUGCUGGACGAUGACUGACGUUGAGGCUCGAAAGCGUGGGGAGCAAACAGGAUUAGAUACCCUGGUAGUC